rnacentral:rRNA from 1 species
AUAUAAUUAGGCGGAGGAAAAGAAACUAACCAGGAUUCCCUCAGUAAGGGCGACUGAAGCGGGAAGAGCUCGUAGUGUGAAUCGGUUCGCCGAAUUGUGGUCUGUUUGCGCUACUGGCCGGGCAAGUCCCUUGGAACAGGGCAGCCGAGAGGGUGAGACUCCCGUCCGCCCGGCCUUGCGAGCGAACGAAAACGAGUCGAGUUGUUUGGGAUUGCAACUCAAAAUGGGUGGUAAACUUCAUCUAAAGCUAAAUACUUGCGAGAGAACCGAUAGCGCACAAGUA